rnacentral:rRNA from 1 species
AGAGUUUGAUCAUGGCUCAGGACGAACGCUGGCGGCGUGCCUAAUACAUGCAAGUCGAACGGUCUUUUCUAUGGAAGCUUGCUUCCGCUGAGAAGAUAGUGGCGAACGGGUGAGUAACACGUGGGUAACCUGCCCAUAAGAGGGGGAUAACAUCCGGAAACGGGUGCUAAUACCGCAUAGUUUUCUUGAUUGCAUGAUCGGGAAAGGAAAGACGGCCUUUGUGCUGUCGCUUAUGGAUGGACCCGCGGCGUAUUAGUUAGUUGGUGAGGUAACGGCUCACCAAGACGAUGAUACGUAGCCGACCUGAGAGGGUGAUCGGCCACAUUGGGACUGAGACACGGCCCAAACUCCUACGGGAGGCAGCAGUAGGGAAUCUUCCGCAAUGGACGAAAGUCUGACGGAGCAACGCCGCGUGAGUGAAGAAGGUUUUCGGAUCGUAAAACUCUGUUGUCAGAGAAGAACAAGUCGGAGAGUAACUGCUCCGGCCUUGACGGUAUCUGACCAGAAAGCCACGGCUAACUACGUGCCAGCAGCCGCGGUAAUACGUAGGUGGCAAGCGUUGUCCGGAUUUAUUGGGCGUAAAGCGAGCGCAGGCGGUUCCUUAAGUCUGAUGUGAAAGCCCACGGCUCAACCGUGGAAGGUCAUUGGAAACUGGGGAACUUGAGUGCAGAAGAGGAGAGUGGAAUUCCAUGUGUAGCGGUGAAAUGCGUAGAUAUAUGGAGGAACACCAGUGGCGAAGGCGACUCUCUGGUCUGUAACUGACGCUGAGGCUCGAAAGCGUGGGGAGCAAACAGGAUUAGAUACCCUGGUAGUCCACGCCGUAAACAAUGAGUGCUAAGUGUUGGAGGGUUUCCACCCUUCAGUGCUGCAGCUAACGCAUUAAGCACUCCGCCUGGGGAGUACGGCCGCAAGGCUGAAACUCAAAGGAAUUGACGG